AGAGUUUGAUCCUGGCUCAGGAUGAACGCUAGCGACAGGCUUAACACAUGCAAGUCGAGGGGCAGCAUGAUUUGUAGCAAUACAGAUUGAUGGCGACCGGCGCACGGGUGAGUAACGCGUAUGCAACUUACCUAUCAGAGGGGGAUAGCCCGGCGAAAGUCGGAUUAAUACCCCAUAAAACAGGGGUCCCGCAUGGGAAUAUUUGUUAAAGAUUCAUCGCUGAUAGAUAGGCAUGCGUUCCAUUAGGCAGUUGGCGGGGUAACGGCCCACCAAACCGACGAUGGAUAGGGGUUCUGAGAGGAAGGUCCCCCACAUUGGUACUGAGACACGGACCAAACUCCUACGGGAGGCAGCAGUGAGGAAUAUUGGUCAAUGGCCGAGAGGCUGAACCAGCCAAGUCGCGUGAAGGAAGAAGGAUCUAUGGUUUGUAAACUUCUUUUAUAGGGGAAUAAAGUGGAGGACGUGUCCUUUUUUGUAUGUACCCUAUGAAUAAGCAUCGGCUAACUCCGUGCCAGCAGCCGCGGUAAUACGGAGGAUGCGAGCGUUAUCCGGAUUUAUUGGGUUUAAAGGGUGCGUAGGUGGUGAUUUAAGUCAGCGGUGAAAGUUUGUGGCUCAACCAUAAAAUUGCCGUUGAAACUGGGUUACUUGAGUGUGUUUGAGGUAGGCGGAAUGCGUGGUGUAGCGGUGAAAUGCAUAGAUAUCACGCAGAACUCCGAUUGCGAAGGCAGCUUACUAAACCAUAACUGACACUGAAGCACGAAAGCGUGGGGAUCAAACAGGAUUAGAUACCCUGGUAGUCCACGCAGUAAACGAUGAUCACUAGCUGUUUGCGAUACACUGUAAGCGGCACAGCGAAAGCGUUAAGUGAUCCACCUGGGGAGUACGCCGGCAACGGUGAAACUCAAAGGAAUUGACGGGGGCCCGCACAAGCGGAGGAACAUGUGGUUUAAUUCGAUGAUACGCGAGGAACCUUACCCGGGCUUAAAUUGCAGAUGAAUUACGGUGAAAGCCGUAAGCCGCAAGGCAUCUGUGAAGGUGCUGCAUGGUUGUCGUCAGCUCGUGCCGUGAGGUGUCGGCUUAAGUGCCAUAACGAGCGCAACCCUUAUCACUAGUUACUAACAGGUGAAGCUGAGGACUCUGGUGAGACUGCCAGCGUAAGCUGUGAGGAAGGUGGGGAUGACGUCAAAUCAGCACGGCCCUUACAUCCGGGGCGACACACGUGUUACAAUGGCAUGGACAAAGGGCAGCUACCUGGCGACAGGAUGCUAAUCUCCAAACCAUGUCUCAGUUCGGAUCGGAGUCUGCAACUCGACUCCGUGAAGCUGGAUUCGCUAGUAAUCGCGCAUCAGCCAUGGCGCGGUGAAUACGU
rnacentral:rRNA from 1 species